rnacentral:rRNA from 1 species
AUUGAACGCUGGCGGCAGGCCUAACACAUGCAAGUCGAGCGGAUGACGGGAGCUUGCUCCUUGAUUCAGCGGCGGACGGGUGAGUAAUGCCUAGGAAUCUGCCUGGUAGUGGGGGACAACGUUUCGAAAGGAACGCUAAUACCGCAUACGUCCUACGGGAGAAAGCAGGGGACCUUCGGGCCUUGCGCUAUCAGAUGAGCCUAGGUCGGAUUAGCUAGUUGGUGAGGUAAUGGCUCACCAAGGCGACGAUCCGUAACUGGUCUGAGAGGAUGAUCAGUCACGCUGGAACUGAGACACGGUCCAGACUCCUACGGGAGGCAGCAGUGGGGAAUAUUGGACAAUGGGCGAAAGCCUGAUCCAGCCAUGCCGCGUGUGUGAAGAAGGUCUUCGGAUUGUAAAGCACUUUAAGUUGGGAGGAAGGGUUGUAGAUUAAUACUCUGCAAUUUUGACGUUACCGACAGAAUAAGCACCGGCUAACUCUGUGCCAGCAGCCGCGGUAACAC